UACGAAGGGGGCUAGCGUUGUUCGGAAUUACUGGGCGUAAAGCGCGCGCAGGCGGUCUUCUAAGUCAGGGGUGAAAUCCUGGAGCUCAACUCCAGAACUGCCUUUGAUACUGGGAAGCUCGAGUCCGGAAGAGGUAAGUGGAACUCCGAGUGUAGAGGUGAAAUUCGUAGAUAUUCGGAAGAACACCAGUGGCGAAGGCGGCUUACUGGUCCGGUACUGACGCUGAGGUGCGAAAGCGUGGGGAGCAAACAGG
rnacentral:rRNA from 1 species